rnacentral:rRNA from 1 species
UUGAACGCUGGCGGCAGGCCUAACACAUGCAAGUCGAGCGGUAGCACAGAGAGCUUGCUCUCGGGUGACGAGCGGCGGACGGGUGAGUAAUGUCUGGGAAACUGCCUGAUGGAGGGGGAUAACUACUGGAAACGGUAGCUAAUACCGCAUAAUGUCGCAAGACCAAAGUGGGGGACCUUCGGGCCUCAUGCCAUCAGAUGUGCCCAGAUGGGAUUAGCUAGUAGGUGGGGUAACGGCUCACCUAGGCGACGAUCCCUAGCUGGUCUGAGAGGAUGACCAGCCACACUGGAACUGAGACACGGUCCAGACUCCUACGGGAGGCAGCAGUGGGGAAUAUUGCACAAUGGGCGCAAGCCUGAUGCAGCCAUGCCGCGUGUGUGAAGAAGGCCUUCGGGUUGUAAAGCACUUUCAGCGGGGAGGAAGGCGUUAAGGUUAAUAACCUUGGCGAUUGACGUUACCCGCAGAAGAAGCACCGGCUAACUCCGUGCCAGCAGCCGCGGUAAUACGGAGGGUGCAAGCGUUAAUCGGAAUUACUGGGCGUAAAGCGCACGCAGGCGGUCUGUCAAGUCGGAUGUGAAAUCCCCGGGCUCAACCUGGGAACUGCAUUCGAAACUGGCAGGCUAGAGUCUUGUAGAGGGGGGUAGAAUUCCAGGUGUAGCGGUGAAAUGCGUAGAGAUCUGGAGGAAUACCGGUGGCGAAGGCGGCCCCCUGGACAAAGACUGACGCUCAGGUGCGAAAGCGUGGGGAGCAAACAGGAUUAGAUACCCUGGUAGUCCACGCCGUAAACGAUGUCGAUUUGGAGGUUGUGCCCUUGAGGCGUGGCUUCCGGAGCUAACGCGUUAAAUCGACCGCCUGGGGAGUACGGCCGAAAGGUUAAAACUCAAAUGAAUUGACGGGGGCCCGCACAAGCGGUGGAGCAUGUGGUUUAAUUCGAUGCAACGCGAAGAACCUUACCUGGUCUUGACAUCCACAGAACUUUCCAGAGAUGGAUUGGUGCCUUCGGGAACUGUGAGACAGGUGCUGCAUGGCUGUCGUCAGCUCGUGUUGUGAAAUGUUGGGUUAAGUCCCGCAACGAGCGCAACCCUUAUCCUUUGUUGCCAGCGGUUCGGCCGGGAACUCAAAGGAGACUGCCAGUGAUAAACUGGAGGAAGGUGGGGAUGACGUCAAGUCAUCAUGGCCCUUACGACCAGGGCUACACACGUGCUACAAUGGCAUAUACAAAGAGAAGCGACCUCGCGAGAGCAAGCGGACCUCAUAAAGUAUGUCGUAGUCCGGAUUGGAGUCUGCAACUCGACUCCAUGAAGUCGGAAUCGCUAGUAAUCGUAGAUCAGAAUGCUACGGUGAAUACGUUCCCGGGCCUUGUACACACCGCCCGUCACACCAUGGGAGUGGGUUGCAAAAGAAGUAGGUAGCUUAACCUUCGGGAGGGCGCUUACCACUUUGUGAUUCAUGACUGGGGUG